rfam:Streptomyces toyocaensis strain NRRL 15009 contig00014, whole genome shotgun sequence.
UGACCCCGUGCGGGAGAGUCCUCCAGGCACCAUCGGAGGCGCCGAAGGAGCAAAUCCUCCCCGGAAUCUCUCAGGCACACGUACCGCACGGACGAG